GACGAACGCUGGCGGCGUGCUUAAUACAUGCAAGUCAACUGAGCUUAAGGUAGCAAUAUCUUAAGUGCGGUGGCGCACGGGUGAGUAACACGUAGGUAAUCUGCCUUUAGGUCUGACAUAAUCCCGCGAAAGCGGGACUAAAAUCAGAUGAUGCAGCGGCUCGACAUCGAGACAGUUGUUAAACCUUCGGGGCCUAAAGAUGAGCCUGCGUCUGAUUAGGUAGUUGGCGGGGUAAUGGCCCACCAAGGCGACGAUCAGUAGCCGGCCUGAGAGGGUGAUCGGCCACACUGGAACUGAGACACGGUCCAGACUCCUACGGGAGGCAGCAGUGAGGAAUCUUGCGCAAUGGGGGGAAACCCUGACGCAGCAACGCCGCGUGAGUGAAGAAGG
rnacentral:rRNA from 1 species